GCCUUUGAUGACUUGAUGGUUACUGAAAAGGCACAUUGUUGCCUGUAUCAUGUUGAUAUUUUUCAUGAACUAGGACGGUCUGAGGC